UACGUAGGGGGCAAGCGUUGUCCGGAAUCAUUGGGCGUAAAGAGCGUGUAGGCGGCCCGAUAAGUCCGCUGUGAAAGUCCAGGGCUCAACCCUGGAAUGCCGGUGGAUACUGUCGGGCUCGAAUCCGGAAGAGGUGAGUGGAAUUCCUGGUGUAGCGGUGAAAUGCGCAGAUAUCAGGAGGAACACCAAUUGCGAAGGCAGCUCGCUGGGACGUUACUGACGCUGAGACGCGAAAGCGUGGGGAGCAACAGG
rnacentral:rRNA from 1 species